rnacentral:rRNA from 1 species
UACGGAGGGGACUAGCGUUGUUCGGAAUUACUGGGCGUAAAGCGCACGUAGGCGGAUUUGUAAGUCAGGUGUGAAAUCCCGGGGCUCAACCUCGGAACUGCCUUUGAUACUGCAAAUCUCGAGUCCGGAAGAGGUGAGUGGAAUUCCUAGUGUAGAGGUGAAAUUCGUAGAUAUUAGGAAGAACACCAGUGGCGAAGGCGGCUCACUGGUCCGGUACUGACGCUGAGGUGCGAAAGCGUGGGGAGCAAACAGG